CAGUCGCCGCGGGAAUACAGAGGGUGCGAGCGUUAAUCGGAUUUACUGGGCGUAAAGCGUGCGUAGGCGGCUAAUUGAGUCGGAUGUGAAAUCCCCGAGCUUAACUUGGGAAUUGCAUUCGAUACUGGUUAGCUAGAGUGUGGGAGAGGAUGGUAGAAUUCCAGGUGUAGCGGUGAAAUGCGUAGAGAUCUGGAGGAAUACCGAUGGCGAAGGCAGCCAUCUGGCCUAACACUGACGCUGAGGUACGAAAGCAUGGGGAGCAAACAGGAUUAGAUACCCCCGUAGUCCCUGUCUCUUAUAU
rnacentral:rRNA from 1 species